rnacentral:sRNA from 1 species
CAGUACAGUCAAACGUGCAUGAUGAGAACCUGCAGCAGGUUCGACUGAAUCGCGGUGCGAUUCAGGCUGAUGCGUCAGCAUCACCCGCAGGGCGAGGCCCACGGGGCCGAAGGCCAUCCUGCACGACCCACCA